UUCCCUACGGGACGCAGCAGUGGGGAAUAUUGCACAAUGGGGGAAACCCUGAUGCAGCAACGCCGCGUGAAGGAAGACGGUUUUCGGAUUGUAAACUUCUGUUCUUAGUGAAGAAGAAUGACGGUAGCUAAGGAGCAAGCCACGGCUAACUACGUGCCAGCAGCCGCGGUAAUACGUAGGGGGCAAGCGUUAUCCGGAUUUACUGGGUGUAAAGGGAGCGUGGACGGCAGGGCAAGUCUGGAGUGAAAGGCGGGGGCUCAACCCCCGGACUGCUCUGGAAACUGUACGGCUGGAG
rnacentral:rRNA from 1 species